rnacentral:rRNA from 1 species
CAGCCGCCGCGGUAAUACGUAGGGUGCGAGCGUUAAUCGGAAUUACUGGGCGUAAAGCGUGCGCAGGCGGUUGUGUAAGACAGGUGUGAAAUCCCCGGGCUUAACCUGGGAACUGCGCUUGUGACUGCACAGCUAGAGUAUGGCAGAGGGGGGUGGAAUUCCACGUGUAGCAGUGAAAUGCGUUGAUACCAUCAGGAACUCCGGUGGCGAAGGCGGCCCGCUGGACCCCAUCUGACGCUGAGGCGCGAAAGCCAGGGGAGCAAACGGGAUUAGAUACCCCCGUAGUCCCUGUCUCUUAUAC